AACAAGUGACCGUUCUGAGGAAGGCAACAGGUUAUAGCCGAAACAUGUCAUGGUAAAAGAAUUAACUUUUUCCAUCUGUCUGACAAAUAAGAAAAGGAAAUCUGUAUAAACACAGUGUCUCCAUCCACUGUCACUGAUCCAACUCCA